UACGUAGGGGGCUAGCGUUGUCCGGAUUUAUUGGGCGUAAAGAGCGUGUAGGCGGCCAUUUAGGUCCGGUGUGAAAACUCGAGGCUUAACCUCGAGAUGUCAUCGGAAACCAUUUGGCUAGAGCCCGGAAGAGGAGAGUGGAAUUCCUGGUGUAGCGGUGAAAUGCGCAGAUAUCAGGAAGAACACCAAUGGCGAAAGCAGCUCUCUGGGACGGUACUGACGCUGAGACGCGAAAGCGUGGGGAGCGAACAGG
rnacentral:rRNA from 1 species